GACAGAGGGUGCAACCGUUGUUCGGAAUUACUGGGCGUAAAGCGCGUGUAGGCUGCUCGGAAAGUCGGAUGUGAAAGCCCUGGGCUUAACCUAGGAAGUGCAUUCGAAACUUCCGAGCUGGAGUUCUGGAGAGGAAGGCGGAAUUCUCGGUGUAGAGGUGAAAUUCGUAGAUAUCGAGAGGAACACCGGUGGCGAAGGCGGCUUCCUGGACCGGUUCUGACACUGAGGAGCGAAAGCGUGGGGAGCGAGCCGG
rnacentral:rRNA from 1 species